GGGCAAUUAGCUCAGCUGGUUAGAGCGCUUCGUUCACAUCGAAGAGGUCACAGGUUCGAGUCCUGUAUUGCCCA
rnacentral:tRNA from 1 species